rnacentral:rRNA from 1 species
AUUGAACGCUGGCGGCAGGCCUAACACAUGCAAGUCGAACGAGUGGCGGACGGGUGAGGAAUGUCUGGGAAACUGCCCGAUGGAGGGGGAUAACUACUGGAAACGGUAGCUAAUACCGCAUACCAUCGGAUGUGCCCAGAUGGGAUUAGCUAGUAGGUGGGUGAGUGGCUCACCUAGGCGAAGAUCCCGAGCUGGUCUGAGAGGAUGACCAGCCACACUGGAACUGAGACACGGUCCAGACGCCUACGGGAGGCAGCAGUGGUGAAUAUUGCACAAUGGGCGCAAGCCGUAUGCAGCCAUGCCGCGUGUAUGAAGAAGGCAUUCGGGUUGUAAAGUACUUUCAGCGAGGAUGCGUUACUCGCAGAAGAAGCACCGGCUAACUCCGUGCCAGCAGCCGCGGUAAUAC